UCUCUCUCUCUCUCGCUCGUUGUCUCUCUCUCUCGCUCGUUGUCUCUCUCUCUCUCUCGCUCGUUGUCUCUCUCUCUCUCUCUCGCUCGGUGUCUCUCUCUCUCUCUCUCGCUCGGUGUCUCUCUCUCUCUCUCUCGCUCGUUGUCUCUCUCUCUCUCUCGCUCGUUGUCUCUCUCUCUCUCUCUCGCUCGUUGUCUCUCUCUCUCUCCGCUCGUUGUCUCUCUCUCUCUCUCGCUCGUUGUCUCUCUCUCUCUCGCUCGUUGUCUCUCUCUCUCUCUCUCGUUGUCUCUCUCUCUCUCUCGUUGUCUCUCUCUCUCUCUCGUUGUCUCUCUCUCUCUCUCUCGUUGUCUCUCUCUCUCUCUCGUUGUCUCUCUCUCUCUCUCGCUCUCUCUCUCUCUCGUUUUGUCUCUCUCUCUCUCUCUCGUUGUCUCUCUCUCUCUCUCGUUGUCUCUCUCUCUCUCUCUCUCGUUGUCUCUCUCUCUCUCUCUCGUUGUCUCUCUCUCUCUCUCGUUGUCUCUCUCUCUCUCUGUUGUCUCUCUCUCUCUCGUUGUCUCUCUCUCUCUCUCGUGUUGUCUCUCUCUCUCUCUCGUGUUGUCUCUGUCUCUCUCUCUUGUUGUCUCUCGUCUCUCUCUCUCGUUGUCUCUCUCGUUGUCUCCCAAGUGAGCGCUAUUCCCUAUAUAGUUUUGGAUGCAGUCUGAGUCCCGUUGGCCAAACAUGCUGCAUGUGUAGCUCAAGUCUCUCACAAACACUGUCAGCCCUGUUAGGGCUUCUGACUGAUAGCUCCAGGCCACCCCUUCCAUAGCUCCGAGUCAUCCCCAGCACAGAGCUCUUUGUCUGGGCUGAGACUGUGUGUCAGGGCCCCUUGGCUGAAGGCCCGAGGCUCUGGAAAGAAAGGCCACCAUUUCAUCCUCUAUACCAGGCGGAUGGACUGGUGUGACUGGGACCAGUGUCUCCUCCCGCGCCACACACACACACCAGUAAGUCAGACCAGACUAGGGUCUGUGAUUUGCCUUUGUCGAUGCUGAACAAACAGGUUUUUGAACAACACACACAGUCCUACAGAGGCAUACCACUUUCUCCCAGGGGAUGUACAUGUCCACACAGAUUGCUACGGAGUUCCAACUAAGAUGCAACAGAAACCCAAAACAGCCUUAUGGGCCACCAUAGUUAAAGAAUUUAGCCUUAUGGGUGACCUCUGACCUGGGUUAAAUAGAUGUAACCAUCAUCACUGUGCUUGCCCACCUUAGGAGCCCUGCUGUUUUAGAGUAGCUAGGUCCUUUUAAGAGUGUUGUCUGGUCUGAAGUGGCCUGAUCAACAGUAUUCCACUGGACCCAACAUGUCCCAAAGUGAUCAUUCUAGAAUCAUUUGCAUUCUAGAACUGUGUCCAUUCUAGAACUGUUUCUAGCCAUUCUAUUUCUAUGGUUGUAGUCAGUCGGUGCUUUUUGCCAAAUGGCCUCCAGAGUGACUCAAUACCCAGUAGACCCAUGUCCCUUACUGGUCUUAUUUAGUGAGGGAGAGCUCAAAUAGGAGUCCCAAAUGGCACCCUAUUCCCUAUAUAGUGCACAAAUUUUGAACAGGUCCCAUAGGGUCUAUAGUAGUGCACUAUGUAGGGAAUAGGCUGUCAUUUGGGACAAAGCCCAGACAGAUGCAGGCCUUGGUCUGCUCCAGUAAGAGAAUGGGUAGACAGUCUGCCAGUAGUAACACAGUGGUCAGUAUUCAGUCACUGCUCCUUCAGGCCGUCUCUCCCUCUGCUGCUGCUGUGGUUUUAAAUGUGUGCCAACGCUAGCACACUAGUUAGAAUGCACUGCUUCUAAGUGUCAUGUUAGUGUGGAUGUUGGAAUGCAGCCCAAGAGUCAGUUAGAACACAGGGUCAUUUCAAAUGCCCAGGCCCACUUUGAUGAUGUCACAAAGCCCAAGCCUGUUUGAUUAAGUUUCUGCUACAGACAGAAACCUGCCUUCAGUGGCCUGGUCAGCCUCCACAACUGGUUUUAACCCAGUCUGAGUUGUAAUUCAUUGUGUCAAAAAGAGUUACAGAGGUUUCAAACUGUUAACUGUGAUGUCAGACCCCCGCCCUGCCCUGAGAACUGUCUGUUCCUCUACUACAACUCCUUCCUGCUCUCUCUCUCAUCAUGACAUCACUGAGGGUUCCCACACACAACUACACUGAAAGGUCAUUCUAGUUCUAUUGAUUGUAUGGAAUGUGGAGGAAGGUUUGGGGCCAGGUCCAUUAUAUCAAGGUGGCGUUGUGAAUGUGCAAUCUGACGUAUUGGACCUGGACUGGGAAGGACCUGAGUUGUGUGAGGUGAUGGUGUUUUAAAGCUAUGCAACAGCACUGUGCUCCAGUCCACACAGCAAAAAUACUUCUGUAUGUUAUGAGAAUGAUCACGAUGAUAUGUUACUGCUGCCCCAUGUAAUCAGGUCAGUUCUUUAUUAGUAAAGAGGAAAAUAUGCAAAUGAUCUGCCAGAAUAUGACUGAUAUUGUUGUGCCUCCUGUUACCUGACUUCGCCUUUUUUCCCCCAAUCAAGUUUUUAUACUUGCAGUGUUUGCCUUAGCGGUGUUUUCAUGUCCUCAUUUCAAGAUGAUGGCUACGUUCCGAAUGGCACCCUAUUCCCUACAUGAUGACCCAUUGGCUCUGGUCUAAAGUAGUAUAAGUAAAUAGGGACAUGGGUGUCAUUUGGGACAGUAUCCAAGAAGAUAAGUCACAUACGAGUCCAACAAUGGUUACAAACUGUCUCUCUUGCUUAUACAGUUCAGAUGUUUGUUUUUUGUUUGUUGAGAAAAUGCUUUCAUUGUACAGUCUAACUUAUACUGUCUUACCUUCUUACUAUUCUCCCAAUAAAACCACAAAC
rnacentral:lncRNA from 1 species